UGUUUGGCCACGUCCUGGGAAGCAGGGCCUCAAUACGCGUAGCGGUUGUUUCGGAGGACAGAUGUCUUCACAACAAGAGCCCCCAUUUCUCCUUCCCCUUUCCCACCUUUUAUUGUUGAAUGUGACACCAUAUGGUUUGGAAUAUUCCUUUGGUUGGUUUAGGUCAGCUGCCCUGGUGGUGUCUCCUCCCCACCUCUUGCCCAGCUCCAGCCUGCUGGCUCUUGGAGAUUGGAGGGAUUACACAAGAGUCCUGAUGCUGUGCCAGCACUUCUCAGCAG